rnacentral:piRNA from 2 species
UGGCUUGUAGGGUUUCUGCCGAGAGA